CUUAGUCAAGGCCCUGAGCAGUUCAUGGAGAGCCUGUCUCUAAAUAAAAUAAAAAAUGGGGCUGGGGAUGGGGUUCAGGUGUAAGUCACCUCUGGGUUCAAUUCCUAAUACUGCCCCCUCACCUCCAAAAAAAGUCAAAGUGGACAUAAUUUUGUUUUCUUUUUUCUUUCUUUUUUCAGUGUUUUUACUCAUGCACUGUUGUUAUGAUUGAUUCACACUUAUUCUGUACCUGUCCCCUGCUGCAUAGCCAGGUCCCCUGCUGCAGGCUUGGGGAGGUAUUUUACAAGUGGCUCCUCACAGCUGUGUGCCUGUGUGUGCACGCUUGUGAAUCUCAUUUCCUUUGUUUUCCAGAUCAAGGCCUCAGGCUCAGAAAGAGGCUCCACAGUCAUCCUGCGUCCAGUACUGGCUGAAGGGCAGGGUGACUGCGAGUCCUCUGGUGCUGGGUUACCCCUGCGAUCCUCUGAGCUCUCUGGGGCUCAGUUUCUCAUCUCUAGACCACUCUCCAUCCACCAUAGAAUCUCUCCAUCUUUCCCCCUUUUAUAAUUUGAUGGCUCUUUGAUUCUCUGAGGUGGUUUCUUGGUCACUGCUUUAUGGAGAUCAUGAAAAUGUCACUUCUCCCAAGGGCUAUUUUUCUGUUUCCUAAUGGGGCCUUCAUCUCAGGAGCUUGGCUCCACAAACCUCUCUCUCUCUCUCUUUAAUCGCUCACCACAUCCUGUCCACCCUGGAUUAAUGAGGUUCUGAGAAGGUGGCCCCUUCUCAGGAAUGACACCUUGAGCCAGUUCAUCUGGAAAAUCAACCACAUAAAAGUGCCUGAGAUGAAAGGAGAAAAAUUGUCCUCUUCCACGUAGGAGAGAGGAUACAGAAACACCAUGGAAAUUUGAGCCAUCCAUCAGGUUGCUCCAUCCAGCUUCUCAAAGAAAAGAGCCUAACCGAGAAGAGGAAAAUUGUCUUCCAAAACAAAGGUGGUAGCCCCCUCUGAUCCCAGCAGCUUGGGAGGCUGAGGCAGGAAGAUCGCGAG
rnacentral:lncRNA from 1 species